UUGUUAAAAAAAGAAAGGUAAGAAUGAUUUGUUGUGGAUUUUUUUUUUUUUGAGAGAGAGAUAGGUAGCACGCUACCCGCUUCGUUUAUUUCAUUUAGAAAUAAACUUAGCUGGAAAUAUGAAUCAACUAGAAUUCGAAUUUGAGAUCUCGGAUACCAAUCAUCAAGCCCUUUGCCACUCGUUGUGGAAAAAGUUUGAGUCUCUAAAAUGUUAAGAGUGUGUGUAUAAACUAAUUAUACACUUUUACUUAGUGUUUAAUAUAUGAAUAAUGUAUAAAAAUAGUAUUUUUAGAAAUAUAUAAUGGUAUUAUUAUUGGCUGAAAAAAUAAAUAUAUGUAGA
rnacentral:lncRNA from 1 species